rnacentral:lncRNA from 1 species
AUGCCACUGGUGUGGGCAAAAAAAAUUAGUAUAUUUCCAUUCUUUCUAAUUUUUUUGCAGAAAAUCCAAUUCAUUUCAAGUAUUUCAAACAUCUCACAUUCAGAAGACAAUAGGAAACUUCACAAAGAUUACCUGCACCUGUCUGGCAGGAGUUGGAGUCCUAAAGGGGAUGCAGCUGCUGUGGGAGGUACCAGUCAAGACAGAGAGGUAGGGGUUUCCUUUUAUGUCUCUUUCCAACUUUAAAAUCUUGAAUAUGCUAACCCCAGGCAGAAAUGCAGUAGUAAUUCCUCCUGCAAUAUAAAGCAGACUAGGGUAAGGGCUAGCAAUGGCUCUGAAAACAAAUUGGCCUAGGACUGGUACAACUUUUCUUUGGGUGAGAUGACAAAUUUGAGUUUUCAUAUUUUUUCUCAUCUCCAAAAUUUUUUCAGAUUUAUCUCCAGAACUAGGUUUGUUAUUUUAUUAGUCCUGUUUUAUUUAUAGAAUUUUUUGGAAAUUUUGUUUUAUAAUUUAUCCAAGAGAAAUCUUAACCUCAUGUAAAGUUUCAUUAAUUUUAUUAUUUACCAGCAUUUUUUAUACCACUUAUUUGUCAUUCUCAAGCACUUUUAUUACACUUAAAAAAAAAUUUUCUCACAGAUGAUCCCUCAGGCAGUUGGCACAUUCUUAAGACAUUGCUCUUUUCAGAGUUGCCGCUGUGGCGCAGUGGAAAAGAAUCCAAUUAGUAUCCAUGAGGAUGUGGUAUAAAAAAUGAGAAGUUUUUCAAUUCUGUCUUCAGUUUAAGGAUUUUUUUUCUUCUUUAAUUAUUGCUUCUCCUUGAUCUUGAUUCCUUUUAUACCUAUAUUAAAUAUCUGAUUCACUGGCAUGUUUUAAAUCAUAGAUGAAUUAACAAUGACCUUAAUCUGGACUUAUAUGAAGUAUUUUUACAGAAAGUCCCUCAAAUUUUUGUCAUGUGUAUGACUCCAUUUAUGUAGACUGUUUCUAGAUAUUUUUGUGGCUAUUAUUUCAAUGGGAACUUGGAAGAGAAGGGAGUUAAAUAUCUUUCCUCAAAUAUCCAUGCCAAACAAAAGUGUGUCUUAAUAAAAUUCAAACAUUAAUUGUACCA